GUCUACAGCUAUGCCACCCUGAACAAGCCUGAUGUCUGAUCUCGGAAGCUAAGCAACGUCGGGCCUGGUUACUACUUGGAUGGGAGACCACCUAGGAAGACCAGGUGCUGUAGGCA
rnacentral:rRNA from 1 species